UAGGGAAUCUUCCGCAAUGGGCGAAAGCCUGACGGAGCAACGCCGCGUGAGUGAUGAAGGUCUUCGGAUCGUAAAACUCUGUUAUUAGGGAAGAACAAAUGUGUAAGUAACUAUGCACGUCUUGACGGUACCUAAUCAGAAAGCCACGGCUAACUACGUGCCAGCAGCCGCGGUAAUACGUAGGUGGCAAGCGUUAUCCGGAAUUAUUGGGCGUAAAGCGCGCGUAGGCGGUUUUUUAAGUCUGAUGUGAAAGCCCACGGCUCAACCGUGGAGGGUCAUUGGAAACUGGAAAACUUGAGUGCAGAAGAGGAAAGUGGAAUUCCAUGUGUAGCGGUGAAAUGCGCAGAGAUAUGGAGGAACACCAGUGGCGAAGGCGACUUUCUGGUCUGUAACUGACACUGAUGUGCGAAAGCGUGGGGAUCAAACAGG
rnacentral:rRNA from 1 species